CUGAGCUCAGGGAGCGGGUCUGCUCAACAGCACAGCUCUUCCAGCAAAGCCAGCGCACUCUAUGGACUUAUUCACACUUCUGUCCUCCACGCCUCUAACGUUUGGCCUCGUUUCUAUCUUGUUUUGAUGUAUGAAAGAGUGGUUCUCAAAGUGUGGUCCCAAACCAGCAACAUCAGCAUCACCUGGGAACUGGGAGAAAUGCACGUUCUGAGCCCCACCUCCUGAAUCCGAAACUCUGGGGUUGGAGCCCAGCAAUUUGUGAUUUAACAAGCUCUCUGGAUGGGGGGCUGCGGCGCAGCUGGGGUACCACAGCUCUACCAUCAGUGCCUCAAGUCUCGGAAACACGAUCACAGCUCAUAAAAUAUCCACGCACUUGAGCAAGGAUCCAGAUCUUAUCAUCCUUCCAGCACAAGACAGGCACAGAGAAGCUGAAGUAUCUGCUCAACUGGGUAGCCUGGUUCCUACAAGACAGUCUGGUCUUGCAGACUGCCAAGAUGUGUUAUAGACGUAUC